UUCUCUGGAUGAGUUGCGAACGGGUGAGUAACGCGUAGGUAACCUGCCUGGUAGCGGGGGAUAACUAUUGGAAACGAUAGCUAAUACCGCAUAAUAUUGACUAUUGCAUGAUAGUUGAUUAAAAGGUGCAAUUGCACCACUACCAGAUGGACCUGCGUUGUAUUAGCUAGUUGGUGAGGUAACGGCUCACCAAGGCGACGAUACAUAGCCGACCUGAGAGGGUGAUCGGCCACACUGGGACUGAGACACGGCCCAGACUCCUACGGGAGGCAGCAGUAGGGAAUCUUCGGCAAUGGACGGAAGUCUGACCGAGCAACGCCGCGUGAGUGAAGAAGGUUUUCGGAUCGUAAAGCUCUGUUGUAAGAGAAGAACGAGUGUGAGAGUGGAAAGUUCACACUGUGACGGUAUCUUACCAGAAAGGGACGGCUAACUACGUGCCAGCAGCCGCGGUAAUACGUAGGUCCCGAGCGUUGUCCGGAUUUAUUGGGCGUAAAGCGAGCGCAGGCGGUUAGAUAAGUCUGAAGUUAAAGGCUGUGGCUUAACCAUAGUACGCUUUGGAAACUGUUUAACUUGAGUGCAAGAGGGGAGAGUGGAAUUCCAUGUGUAGCGGUGAAAUGCGUAGAUAUAUGGAGGAACACCGGUGGCGAAAGCGGCUCUCUGGCUUGUAACUGACGCUGAGGCUCGAAAGCGUG
rnacentral:rRNA from 1 species